GACGCUCAUGCACGAAAGCGUGGGGAUCAAACAGGAUUAGAUACCCUGGUAGUCCACGCUGUAAACGAUGAUUACUCGAUGUUGGCGAUACACAGUCAGCGUCUGAGCGAAAGCAAUAAGUAAUCCACCUGGGGAGUACGAUCGCAAGAUUGAAACUCAAAGGAAUUGACGGGGGCCCGCACAAGCGGAGGAGCAUGUGGUUUAAUUCGAUGAUACGCGAGGAACCUUACCUGGGCUCGAACGUAAGAUGACUGUAGGUGAAAGCUUACAUCUCUUCGGAGCAUUUUACGAGGUGCUGCAUGGUUGUCGUCAGCUCGUGCCGUGAGGUGUCGGGUUAAGUCCCAUAACGAGCGCAACCCCUACCUUUAGUUGCCAUCAGGUCAUGCUGGGGACUCUAAAGGAACUGCCUACGCAAGUAGUGAGGAAGGCGGGGAUGACGUCAAAUCAGCACGGCCCUUACGUCCAGGGCUACACACGUGCUACAAUGGCCGAUACAGAGGGCAGCUACCUGGUGACAGGAUGCAAAUCUCCAAAGUCGGUCUCAGUUCGGAUCGGAGUCUGCAACCCGACUCCGUGAAGUUGGAUUCGCUAGUAAUCGCGCAUCAGCCGUGGCGCGGUGAAUACGUUCCCGGGCCUUGUACACACCGCCCGUCAAGCCAUGGAAGCUGGGGGGACCUAAAGUCGAUAACCGCAAGGAGUCGCCUAGGGUAAAACCAGUGACUGGGGCUAAGUCGUAACAAGGUAGCCG
rnacentral:rRNA from 1 species